UCUCUCUACAAGAUGUCUUUAGCAAGGUCUACUCCAUCUCCAGCAAAGGAGUUUGUAAGCAUCUGAGAUCUACAAUCACCAGUUUGUGAAAAAAGUCCAAGUGAUCAUGAAGAAGUUUACUUUCCUAAUAUUUCUCUGUUUCCUCACCUACAAUUGCUUCUAGUGUAGGAACAAGAGGAGAGAAGAAGAUGGAGUCCCCCAAAAGAUGCAACAAAGAUUCCUCGAUAUCAAAGAGAAUUGAAUGAGAAUAUAUGAAGAUCAAUCUCAUACUUGAUUCGGCAAUUUCCUGUUCCUACCCUUGUGCCAUCCCUCCUCGUUGCCAUUUAUAUUCUAUCACGGACAACUUUCAUUGCAGUUAUAUAGCGUACGCUAACGUCUCCCUGUGUGUAUCUCUCCUCCCAAAUUAAAUGAUAAAUAUAUCAUUUGAUGGAAGGAGAAGAGAGUUAUUACCUAACCAAACCCUCAGCAAGCUACCCACCCUGGUGAGCUUGUGCUGGAAAAUCCAGAGUGAUGGUUUUCAUGGUGAUGAUGAGAAGAGCAGAGGAGAGAAAGAGAUAGACACAUAGGAACAGAAUGAGGGCAUGACAUGGGUCCAUAAGUGUAUGGAAGAAACAUGCGACUCCUCGUGCUCAUAACUAUUGCAAGCCUUGCUUGGAGAAUGUGUUUGCCUUUCAGAAUUUUGUAAAGGAGAGGACAUGUGAGGGUAGACGGACACUUAGGCCACAGAAGAAUAUUAUGAAAUGCCCAACUUCCUCAAAUGACAUUUCUGAUUUCCUUCAAAACCCAGAGGUCAAUAGAGACGUGAUGAAUGGAAGAGUGAGGAGGAGGCGUCUAAAAUGAUGUGGAAGGUGUACAGAGAAGACAGAAAUGGACUUGCAAGCAAAAGAAAGCUGAUGGUGGGGAUUGCUCAAAGGUUAAUAACAAGGUUGAGAAUUGCAAAAUAUUUGAAGAGAUUCCUGAUGCUGUGACUGAACAUACUGAAAUUUGUUCUAGACCUCUGCCCUCAUUUAAACCAGAAUGGCACCAAGUUUUGAGAGCUUCCAGAGGAACGGCUCAGAUCCGGAGAGAGAAGUCUACCCCCAAAACUGGUGCCUGGAGCUAGCUGAGAUAACCGGCUGCUUCCGUUCUUCUAUAACCCGAUCCAGAUCCUCAGAUCCAAGAGAAUAUUACAUGAUCGAAAACAAUGAAAGUGCCAAAGCCGAAUCACUCGAUCGCCGCCGAUUCUCCACCACCGAGUUCUUCCCUAGAGACAUCCAUACCGUCCUGUACAACCGUCUCAAUCUCGGAACUUUCAUUGCCGUCCCCUCCCUCCGGUGGUUCCGUUGACUCAUGGCCCAAUGUGGAUCAUUUCCUCUCAUACCCACCUGAGUCUGGGGCUGUGCUCAGCGUUUGGAACAGCAAGGAAGUGUUCUUCCUUGAGGUCAGAGGGGCUUCCCGUGCCACACGAGGGCUCGCGAAGGCGAGCCAGAUCGUGGAUAAGGAUUUCCCUUGGCUUGGGAUACCAUCGGUGCCGGAGCUGUUCAUGCCAUUUGGGUUUCAUUUCCUUUAUGGGUUGGGAGGCUGGAAGCUGUUCAGAUCACCUUUGGAUCUGUUCGUUUUGAUCAUCAAGAAAGGCCGAGGUUCGAAGAAGCCAGGCCAAAUCUCGAAUCAGGUAGUUCAGCAUCUCACCCCGUCUCAGGAGAUCAUUGGCUUCUACAGAUCAAGAAAUUGAAGGAAACCAGAUCUUCCAAUUUGGGUUUUCUUCGAAUUACUUUGAUUCUACCAUGUUUCCGGUGAACGCUUUGGGUAUUGAACAUUCCAGCGAGUUCAAUAAUGCAGGGUCUAGUACUGUUGAGAAUUGUUUUGGGGAUACUGGAGUGGGGACUUCAUAUCCUCAGGAGCUGUUUCGCACAUCAUCAUCGACAUCGAAACUCUAGCAACACCUUAUUCAAUGGCCUUCUUCAAAUUUAAAGCUCAUUAUACCUCACCGUUUACUGUAGGCAAUUUGAACUCUUUUGUAAUUUUCAUGUCUUGUAUCUCUUGUUUUUGUAUAAUAUGGUGUUCGAAUAAUUCCUCC